CAGACAGUUUUAUUCAUGUAUUCAAGGCCAUGGCCCAUAUUGCAGUAAUGUGUAACAAGUGUGUUGAUGCUGGUCGUACAUUGCAGGUACCUUAUUAGUGUUGUCACAUGAUAAAUCUAAGAGACUCUUGUAAAAUUACAAUAGAGUAUUAUACAACCUUAUCAAACAAUAUUUCAGCUCAUAUGCUGAAAAGCUAAUCAUAAUUUGAAGUAUACAUGUAUUUCA